UACGGAGGGUGCAAGCGUUAUCCGGAUUCACUGGGUUUAAAGGGUGCGUAGGUGGGCAAGUAAGUCAGUGGUGAAAUCUCCGGGCUUAACCCGGAAACUGCCAUUGAUACUAUUUGUCUUGAAUACUGUGGAGGUCAGCGGAAUAUGUCAUGUAGCGGUGAAAUGCUUAGAUAUGACAUAGAACACCAAUUGCGAAGGCAGCUGGCUACACAAAUAUUGACACUGUGGCACGAAAGCGUGGGGAUCAAACAGG
rnacentral:rRNA from 1 species